AGUGAACGCUGGCGGUAGGCCUAACGCAUGCAAGUCGAACGGCAGCACAGUAAGAGCUUGCUCUUACGGGUGGCGAGUGGCGGACGGGUGAGGAAUACAUCGGAAUCUACUUUUUCGUGGGGGAUAACGUAGGGAAACUUACGCUAAUACCGCAUACGACCUACGGGUGAAAGCAGGGGAUCUUCGGACCUUGCGCGAUUGAAUGAGCCGAUGUCGGAUUAGCUAGUUGGCGGGGUAAAGGCCCACCAAGGCGACGAUCCGUAGCUGGUCUGAGAGGAUGAUCAGCCACACUGGAACUGAGACACGGUCCAGACUCCUACGGGAGGCAGCAGUGGGGAAUAUUGGACAAUGGGCGAAAGCCUGAUCCAGCCAUACCGCGUGGGUGAAGAAGGCCUUCGGGUUGUAAAGCCCUUUUGUUUGGAAAGAAAAGCAGUAGGUUAAUACCCCGCUGUUCUGACGGUACCCAAAGAAUAAGCACCGGCUAACUUCGUG
rnacentral:rRNA from 1 species